ensembl:lncRNA
UAACAGAAGUAAUACAUUCUUCUUUCUGGUUUACAGCAUCACCAUACCAUGUCGAAGAGGGGAGGGGGGCUGAAGAAAACUUGCCCUGCAUGUAAAGAGAAGAUUUUUAAUGGAUUUAAAAUGUGCCCUAACUGCAAGGCCCCACAGCCUGAAAAUCUUAGAUUAUAAAAAAAAAAAUCGAAAAAUUUGAACAAAAAAAGGACAUAUGGGUAGCGAACAACAAAAGAAAUCAGGUGAUCUCCCACUUACUGGAUGAUGCAGUCAUUUUGAUAGAGAAGCUACACGCAGUUGGCUGGAGGCCUUUGCUCCUGCUUGAAUACCCCCACAAGGAGGCAAAACUGAUUUUGCCUAAAGAUCUGGCGUUGGGCACAAAUGCACAAACGUGCGUGAAAAACAUCCAUGAGAUCUUUAAAAUUAUGGUUGAAGGAAAUACAAACCAGGCAACAGAAAGUAGCCAGGAACCUGAGGAAGCUACUGUCAUUCUGCAUUUAGAGACUUUGGUCAACCCUUCAACAGCAGAACAAGAUUCGACAGCUGCAGCGUGUCUGGACCAGGGGGCUGGGACUAUGGACGGUCCAGAAUGCGAUCUCAGCCUUCUUCCUACAGGACAAGAUUUGACAGCCACCACGUGUCUGGACCAGGAGGUUGGGACUACGGACGGUCCAGAAUCAAAUCUUAGCCCUCUUCCUACAGGACAAGAUUCCACAGCCACCAUGGUUAUGGACCAGGAGGCAGGGACUACGGUCGAUCCAGAACAGGAUUUAAACCUUCCUCCUAUAGGACAAGGGACAAGACGAAUUCGGAGGAAGAAAGUUGGAACUAAACAGAAAGAUUGUCCCCACAACAACUGGGAGGUGCACCCAUACAAGGGCAUAAUCCGGACAAGGCAGAGAAAGGGAAAGACUGAACACCUGUAUGAUUGGAUGCCCUGCGAGCUAUGUGGGAAAACGUGGCCUCCAACCUGGGAGGCUGCUUGAUACUUUCAGACACGCAUUUACUCACUCCAGCUCUGCCAAAUCCUAACAUGAUCCUCAUGUUCAAAGAGGGCCGUGUCUCUAUCUCACAUGUUCUCUCUUGCUCUCAGAAAGCUUUCAGACACACACACUCAUACUGACACAAAUACAGUGUUGAAUUUUGAUGUUUAUUUUAACUUGUUAAGUAUGUCUUAUUUUAAUAAAGAUUUGUCUUUACUAAGCUUUCCCAUUAGUUUGUCAUGUCUGUAACAUCACUCAAGUGAUAUCAAGUAGAGUUUGUUGAGUUGUCUUUGUAAUUGUAUGAUGUAAGUAAUAAAGACUUGAAU